rnacentral:lncRNA from 1 species
AUCCAGUGUCUGCGCUGGAGGAACCAGAGUUCAAUGAUAUUGACUUCUGGGCAGCAAUGAUUUUGUCCAAGGUGGUUAAGCUGACAAGAGAGCACAAUGGAGGGCAGUGGCAAGAGGAGGAGAAACUGUAUCCUUGUGUUUUCAUCAUUAGAAGAGAAUGAAAGGACAGCAGUGGCACAGCCAGACAGGGCAGGGGGUUUGUAAUCACCACAGAAGCCAUGUCUGAGCAUCUCCUGCAGCUCUACAGCCACAAAAAUCACACCUGCAAAUUAGUGACCCCAUCGGAAUCAGAGAAUUGGUAAAGAAGAAACCAAGAAGUUCAGCUGGAAGCGAAGAAGGCAAGGGAGGUACCAAAAAUAAA